GCCGAAGCUCUGCCCGUAAGAAGUUCAAUUUUUGUGAAGAUCUUCCAGAUCUGCGGAGAUAUACUACUUCUGCAAGCCGUAGUGCUGUCUGAUCAUCUUCUGAUCAAGUGAGUGUAUACUACCUUUCAUAAACACGAUAAUAAUACAAGUAUGGUUUGAGUGUAUUAAGUAUAUUGUUGUUUAUAUGUGUGAGGGUGUAGUUACUUUCUUCUAACACAUAAAUAUGAAGUAUUUGCUAUGAAAUACGUGCUAUGUGUUUAUGCAUUAUUUGUCUAUUUGAGAUGGGCGUGGAGUUGAUGUUUUAUACAAGUGUUAAAUGAUUUAAACUGUGUAAGUAUUUAUAUCUACGAAAAUGUUGGGUAGAACUUGGGUAGAUGGGAUAGUUGGUGACUAUGGAGUUAGCGCCUAUUGUAUAAACCUUGGCGACGAUGUGACUUCGUGCCUAUUUGAUGAACCUUGGCGACUAUGGAGUUAGCGCUUGUUGAGUAAACCUUGGCGACUAUGGAGUUAGCGCUUGUUGAGUAAACCUUGGCGACUAUGGAGUUAGCUCUUGUUGAGUAAACCGUGGCGACUAUGGAGUUAGUGCUUGUUGAGUAAACCUUGGCGACUAUGGAGUUAGCGCUUGUUGAGUAAACCUUGGCGACUAUGGAGUUAGCGCUUGUUGAGUAAGCCUUGGCGACUAUGGAGUUAGUGCUUGUUAAGUGAACCUUGGUGACUAUGGAGUUAACACCUGAUAGCUAUGGAUUUAGUACUUGAUAAAUAAACUUUGGCAGCAAUGGAUUUCGUGCCAAUUCCUUAGGAAUAAAU
rnacentral:lncRNA from 1 species